GAAAAAAUUGAAGGGGGGAGUUUUCUGGUUGUUGUUGUUGUGUCGAGAGGUGAAAGGGAAGGAGGGGCCAUGUCGGAGGCGGCGGGUGAGGCGGCAUAUGGCGCGGACAUGCCCGAGAGCCCGCUUCAUCCUCAGCCACAACCCAUCGUUGACGACGCCCACGAAGGUAACACUUCCUAUUCUGCACCGCACUCAUCGUGUCCCACGGCCAACAACGGUGUUGUGCAUGUGCCUGCCAUGAGCGCGAGCUCUGAGCCACCCAAGCAGAAGCGCGGCCGCCCGCGGAAGUAGACCCCAGAUGGUACCAAGCCGCCAGCUAUCUUCCCGGCACCAUAUCCUAUUGGUGUUGUCGCUUCCCCGACACCUGUUCUACCCCCGGGCUUCACGUUGGGAUUGUGGGGCGUAGGCGUCGUGAGGCCCCAGGCACCACUGCCGUCGCCAUUACCGCCACCACCCUUUGAGAAUUCAAAACAACGGGCCAAGAAGAAGAGGGUAUGGCCGCCGAGGUCCACAACCAGCAAGAAGCAGCGGGAGUUGGCAGUAGCAGAGCCAGAUGCGACUGGAUUCGUUCCUCAGGUCAUCACAAUCCAAGGUGGAGAGGAUGUAGCAGCGAAAGUCAUCUCCUAUUGUGGGAAUGGGUGGGCAGUUUGUAUCCUGUCUGCCGAGGGCGCUGUACGCAAUGUGACACUGAAGCAACCAGCUUCUUCCUGUGGAACUGUUAUUUAUGAGGGCUAUUUUGACAUUGUCUCUUUGUCUGGCGUGUAUCUGCUGUCAAAAAGUAAUGGACUGAGCACUCUAAAAGGUGGAUUCAGUAUUUCGCUUGUUGGUCAUGAUGGCUCUCUCUUCGGCGGUGGGUUAGCAGGACCUCUGAUUGCAGCUUCACCUGUUCAGGUGGUCUUUGGAAGGUUUGCCGCUGAUGAAAAAGAGGAGAUCAAACAGGAUGUGGCCAGUGGAAGGUUUGCAGCUGAUGAAAAAGAGGAGAUCAAACAGGAUGUGGCCAGUGGAACUCCAGGUGCUACUACACCGACUGCUGCCCCGAAUGAAACCUCCAGUGGCCCAGGAAGCCCAUCAAACUAG
rnacentral:rRNA from 1 species